AGGACUCUCACAUAAAAGAGAGAUUAGAUGUGUUCUUCUUGCUCUCAGGAGUUUGAAUGGAAGUUGCUAAGAAGCAAAUUUAGACUUGACACCCGGAAGACUCAGAAAGUGGUGGGUUCUUCUCUCUGGAGGCCUUCAAGUAAAGGCUUGAUGACCUCUUGUUGGGUGGGUUACACAGGGGAUUCUUGUGCAGGUUUGGGUGGGACUGUUUGGGCCACUCAGGUUGCUUAUGUUGCUGAGAUUCUGUGAGCACCAGGCAGUGUUAGGUCUCCAAAAGAAAGCACAGGGUUGAUCAGAGCUUCUCUCCCUUCUGAACACAAGCCAAAGGCCCAUAUGGGAGAGAGGACCAGAGCCACCUGUGCACGCUAUAAAAAGCAGCAACUCCGGUAACCCCUUUCUGUUUAACAUCCAGGGGAAGAGCACAGAGCUUCCAAACCACCUUCCCAACAUAGAAGCCUGUCAGCAAGCUGAUCACUGUUACCGAAUCCAGAGGUGCUCUGCAAUCCAGUUUGCACAAGUCUCAGGGAGCAGCACGAAGGGGAAGCUUUGAUGGCAACCACAACACAGAACCCGGUCAGAACCCUAAGUCAGCUCCGAUGUUCUGCACCUUCCCUGGGGUUGGGCAAGGCCUUAUGCAAUUCAUGGUCAUCAACCAGAGGCAGCCUGGCCCGUGCCAUGUCUGUCGCUCGAUGCCCCUUUGUGCAGGGCCCAUCACAGAACAAUGCAGAACGAAUCCUUAAUGACCAAGUGCUGCUGACUCGGGGCACAAAGACCCAGCAGAGGCACCUUUUUCUUUCCAAAGAUGGUCUGGUCAUUGCCAAGUUAAAGUAAGAUUUGACCUUAUCAACUAGCCUCUGCUAACAAACCCACACUUUUUCCACGUUGCAAAUACAUGGGAAAAAAUGACUCAAGAGAGUUAUAGAAGAAAGGGAAAGGGCCUUUAAAAAUCAUAAGCAAUUGCCUCAUUUUAUAGGUGAAGAAAAAGAGGGAAGAACCCAAGAUCAUGCAGCUAGUUAGCAGCAGAGAUGAGACUAGGCAGACUUACAGUUAAAA
rnacentral:lncRNA from 1 species